GUAAAUACGAUCGUACUGCCACAUAAAUGUGGACGGUGGAGUUAAUGCAUCAGCUUCCGAAAAUCCACCCAUAGAUUCGGUAACUUUCCUAACCACUUGCGUAAGGUCAAAGAUCGAAAGGUCUGCAGGUGUUGAACUCCUGGUGACGAAUAAACGUAAGUCGUCGAACAUCACGUCCUACGGAAUGUUAUAAUUUCAGCUCGCGAAUUUUCGCUACGGUAAAAACAAAUGCGAAAGAGUUUCACGGGGGGAAAAAACGGUG
rnacentral:misc_RNA from 1 species